rnacentral:rRNA from 1 species
AGGGAGUUUGAUCCUGGCUCAGGAUGAACGCUGGCGGCGUGCUUAACACAUGCAAGUCGAACGAAGCACUUUACUUAGAUCCCUUCGGGGUGACGAGUUUUGUGACUGAGUGGCGGACGGGUGAGUAACGCGUGGGUAACCUGCCUUACACAGGGGGAUAACAGUUAGAAAUGACUGCUAAUACCGCAUAACCCGCUAGUGUCGCAUGACACAGACGGAAAAGAUUUAUCGGUGUAAGAUGGACCCGCGUCUGAUUAGCUAGUUGGUGAGGUAACGGCUCACCAAGGCGACGAUCAGUAGCCGGCUUGAGAGAGUGAACGGCCACAUUGGGACUGAGACACGGCCCAAACUCCUACGGGAGGCAGCAGUGGGGAAUAUUGCACAAUGGGGGAAACCCUGAUGCAGCGACGCCGCGUGAGUGAAGAAGUAUUUCGGUAUGUAAAGCUCUAUCAGCAGGGAAGAAAAUGACGGUACCUGACUAAGAAGCCCCGGCUAACUACGUGCCAGCAGCCGCGGUAAUACGUAGGGGGCAAGCGUUAUCCGGAUUUACUGGGUGUAAAGGGUGCGUAGGUGGCUUGGCAAGUCAGAUGUGAAAACCCGGGGCUUAACUCCGGGAUUGCAUUUGAAACUGUUAAGCUAGAGUGCAGGAGAGGUAAGUGGAAUUCCUAGUGUAGCGGUGAAAUGCGUAGAUAUUAGGAGGAACACCAGUGGCGAAGGCGGCUUACUGGACUGUAACUGACACUGAGGCACGAAAGCGUGGGGAGCAAACAGGAUUAGAUACCCUGGUAGUCCCU